rnacentral:rRNA from 1 species
UACGUAGGGGCAAGCGUUGUCCGGAUUUAUUGGGCGUAAAGCGCACGCAGGCGGUCUUUUAAGUUUGAGUGACAGGCGAGGGCUUAACCCUGGCAGGCCUUGGAAAACUGGAAGACUUGAGGGCGAGAGAGGGAUGCGGAAUUCCAGGUGGAGCGGUGAAAUGCGUAGAGAUCUGGAAGAACACGAAGGCGAAGGCAGCAUCCUGGAGCGUUACUGACGCUGAUGAUGCGAAAGCUA